rnacentral:rRNA from 1 species
AGUGAAUGCUGGCGGUAGGCCUAACACAUGCAAGUCGAACGGCAGCACAGUAAGAGCUUGCUCUUACGGGUGGCGAGUGGCGGACGGGUGAGGAAUACAUCGGAAUCUACUUUUUCGUGGGGGAUAACGUAGGGAAACUUACGCUAAUACCGCAUACGACCUACGGGUGAAAGCAGGGGAUCUUCGGACCUUGCGCGAUUGAAUGAGCCGAUGUCGGAUUAGCUAGUUGGCGGGGUAAAGGCCCACCAAGGCGACGAUCCGUAGCUGGUCUGAGAGGAUGAUCAGCCACACUGGAACUGAGACACGGUCCAGGCUCCUACGGGAGGCAGCAGUGGGGAAUAUUGGACAAUGGGCGCAAGCCUGGUCCAGCCAUACCGCGUGGGUGAAGAAGGCCUUCGGGUUGUAAAGCCCUUUUGUUGGGAAAGAAAAGCAGCAGGUUAAUACCCCGCUGUUCUGACGGUACCCAAAGAAUAAGCACCGGCUAACUUCGUG